UUGUUUCUUGCAUGAAAGAUGAAGACCUUAUCAACCGUUAGAUUCGAAUUACACUAAAGUCUAUGAACGAAGGUGAAUAUGAUGAGCGUUGGGUCAUACGUCCCAUACCUAAAGAUACUCAGAAUGGGGGUAGGAAUACUCCAGUCCCACUCAUUCUUCAUUACUUAAGGCUCGUAUCGUACAACUUGAUUCAUGAUUGAUAAGUUGUUGACGUAGUUCUUG
rnacentral:lncRNA from 1 species